rnacentral:rRNA from 1 species
CUUUGGCGAGUAAAGCGGCGAACGGGUGAGUAACACGUAACCAACGUACCCCCGAGAUCGGAAUAGCCACUGGAAACGGUGGGUAAUGCCGAAUGGUCCGAGAGGGAGACAUCUCCCACUCGGUAAACGGGCAACUGCUCGGGGAGCGGGUUGCGGGCUAUUAGCUUGUUGGUGAGGUAACGGCCCACCAAGGCGAAGACGGGUAGGGGGCCUGAGAGGGUGGUCCCCCACAUGGGCACUGAGACACGGGCCCGACUCCUACGGGAGGCAGCAGUAAGGGAUAUUGCGCAAUGGGCGAGAGCCUGACGCAGCAACGCCGCGUGCCCGACGAAGGCCUUCGGGUUGUAAAGGGCUUUUCUGGCUGAUGAGGAAGGACGGUAGGCCAGGAAGAAGUAUCGGCUAACUACGUGCCAGCAGCCGCGGUAAAACGUAGGAUGCAAGCGUUAUCCGGAGUUACUGGGCGUAAAGCGCGGGCAGGCGGCUGGGUAAGUCGGACGUGAAAGCUCUCGGCUCAACCGGGAGAGGCCGUUCGAAACUAGUCAGCUGGAGGGCAGCAGAGGAGCGUGGAAUUCCGGGUGGAGCGGUGAAAUGCGCAGAGAUCCGGAGGAACACCAGAGGCGAAAGCGGCGCUCUGGGCUGCACCUGACGCUGAGCCGCGAAAGCAUGGGGA